GAUGAACGCUGGCGGCGUGCCUAAUACAUGCAAGUCGAGCGAACGGACGAGAAGCUUGCUUUUCUGAUGUUAGCGGCGGACGGGUGAGUAACACGUGGAUAACCUACCUAUAAGACUGGGAUAACUUCGGGAAACCGGAGCUAAUACCGGAUAAUAUUUUGAACCGCAUGGGUCAAAAGUGAAAGACGGUCUUGCUGUCACUUAUAGAUGGAUCCGCGCUGCAUUAGCUAGUUGGUAAGGUAACGGCUUACCAAGGCAACGAUGCAUAGCCGACCUGAGAGGGUGAUCGGCCACACUGGAACUGAGACACGGUCCAGACUCCUACGGGAGGCAGCAGUCGGGACUCUUCCGCAAUGGGCGAAAGCCUGACGGAGCAACGCCGCGUGAGUGAUGAAGGUCUUCGGAUCGUAAAACUCUGUUAUUAGGGAAGAACAUAUGUGUAAGUAACUGUGCACAUCUUGACGGUACCUAAUCAGAAAGCCACGGCUAACUACGUG
rnacentral:rRNA from 1 species